rnacentral:rRNA from 1 species
GAUGAACGCUGGCGGCGUGCCUAAUACAUGCAAGUCGAGCGAACAGAUGAGGAGCUUGCUCCUCUGACGUUAGCGGCGGACGGGUGAGUAACACGUGGAUAACCUACCUAUAAGACUGGGAUAACUCCGGGAAACCGGAGCUAAUACCGGAUAAUAUAUUGAACCGCAUGGUUCAAUAGUGAAAGACGGUUUUGCUGUCACUUAUAGAUGGAUCCGCGCCGCAUUAGCUAGUUGGUAAGGUAACGGCUUACCAAGGCAACGAUGCGUAGCCGACCUGAGAGGGUGAUCGGCCACACUGGAACUGAGACACGGUCCAGACUCCUACGGGAGGCAGCAGUAGGGAAUCUUCCGCAAUGGGCGAAAGCCUGACGGAGCAACGCCGCGUGAGUGAUGAAGGUCUUCGGAUCGUAAAACUCUGUUAUUAGGGAAGAACAAAUGUGUAAGUAACUAUGCACGUCUUGACGGUACCUAAUCAGAAAGCCACGGCUAACUACGU